GCCCAUUUAGCUCAGCGGCAGAGCGCGCCGCUCGUAGUGACGCAGUCCAGCACUGAGUUAAAGACACGGUGAGGUCGGUUGUUCAAUCCAGCCAAUGGGCA